rnacentral:RNase_P_RNA from 1 species
AUAGUGGGCCAGAUGGUCGCCGGCCGCGAGCCUGAUCGAGCCGCCAUAUCGGCUUUUGCGGGUUGCGGCGGGAGGAAAGUCCGGGCUCCGAAGGACGCGGUGAUGGGUAACCCCCACCGGCCGUGAGGCCAGGGAAAGUGCAGCAGAAAGUAAACCGCCUCGUGGACUCGAUCCACGCGGUAAGGGUGAAACGGUGAGGUAAGAGCUCACCAGCGGGUUGGGUGACCAACCCGGCUAGGCAAACCCCACCGGGAGCAAGGUCAAACAGGGAGCUGUGACCAACGCCGGCCUUUGGUCGCGCUGCGGUCCGCGGGCUGGUCCGGCCCGUUGUCGACUUCCGGGUAGACCGCUUGAGCGGCCGAGUAAUCGGUCGCCUAGAGAAAUGGCCAUCGCCCGGGCCGGCAUAGGCCACCCGGGAACAGAACCCGGCUUAUCGGCCCACUAUUUCC